GAAGGAGAGGAGGAAGUGGAGAAAAAGCAGGGUUACUGAACGAGGAAGAAAGGGUAGAUCGAUAAGGCAAUCAUUAGGACAGCGGUUGGAGAGGGGAGGAUAGAGCAGAGAGUCUGAAGAGACAGUACGUGAGAUGUCUGGGCAGUCUCCUCACCUUCCUGUCAGAUGGCAGCCUCCAGCCCGAGUCCUUCAGUCGCUGCAGGUCCUGGAACUUGACCCGCACGUCCUCGAUGGCCAGUUGCAGCAGGUCCCAGAAGGCGGCCAGGUCCUGAGAGAUGUCACAUGAAUCACCGAGGAAUCAACCGUUCCAGAGUGAAAGUUCAAGUAGAUGUACCAAAAUAAAACCAAAAUGGAAAGGAGAGAUGGUGAGGGAUCUGCGCUGAAGACCCUGGGUCACACUGCUAUGCUGGGAUAUAGUAGACUAAGAUUUGCU